CACGUAGGGCGCAAGCGUUGUCCGGAAUUAUUGGGCGUAAAGAGCUCGUAGGCGGUCUGUUGCGUCCGCUGUGAAAACUCGGGGCUUAACCCCGAGCCUGCAGUGGAUACGGGCAGACUAGAGGUAGGUAGGGGAGAAUGGAAUUCCCGGUGUAGAGGUGAAAUUCGUAGAUAUCGGGAGGAACACCGGUGGCGAAGGCGGCGAUCUGGGUAGAUACUGACGCUGAGGUGCGAAAGCGUGGGGAGCAAACAGG
rnacentral:rRNA from 1 species